GUGAGGAAUAUUGCGCAAUGGAGGCAACUCUGACGCAGCCAUGCCGCGUGCAGGAAGAAGGCGCUACGCGUUGUAAACUGCUUUUAACCGGGAAGAAACCCCAGGACGUGUCCUGGGUUGACGGUACCGGAGGAAUAAGCACCGGCUAACUUCGUGCCAGCAGCCGCGGUAAUACGAAGGGUGCAAGCGUUAUCCGGAUUCAUUGGGUUGAAAGGGUGCGUAGGCGGAGCGUUAAGUCAGUGGUGAAAUCCUGCAGCUUAACUGUAGACUUGCCAUUGAUACUGGCGCUCUUGAGUGCGCUUGAAGUGGGCGGAAUGUGCCGUGUAGCGGUGAAAUGCUUAGAUAUGGCACAGAACACCAAUUGCGAAGGCAGCUCACUAAGGCGAUACUGACGCUGAGGCACGAAAGCGUGGGGAUCGAACAGGAUUAGAAACCCUAGUAGUCC
rnacentral:rRNA from 1 species